GACCAUGUAAUAGUCCAUCAUCGAAGCAAGAGUUAAAAUUCUUUUUGCUGAGUGAAAAAGUAAAUAGAAGAUCCAAGUAGCACUUACAUAGGUGUUGAAAUAUUAUAGCCCUGAUUCAUUUAUCGAUCUUAGGACCCAGAUAAUAGAGGUCUUUUCAAGCUAAUCUUAGGACCCAGAUAAUAGAGGUCUUUUCAAGCUAAUCUUCUCCGUCUGGGUGCUCGAGAGUUUCCACUGUCUACAUCCGAAACUUGUAAAGCAUCAUUUCUCCUUCUGGAGGAUGAUGUUGAAAUGGAAACCAUGGAAUCAAUUUCUACAGCAGUGUCCAUUUGACUCU
rnacentral:lncRNA from 1 species